GACGAACGCUGGCGGCGUGCUUAAUACAUGCAAGUCGAACGCAUUUUCUUUCAUUGUAGCUUGCUCCAGCGAAGGAAACUGAGUGGCGACCGGGGGAGUACCUCGUCGGUACCUUGCCAAACAGCGGGGGAUAACACUCGGAAACAGGAGCUAAUAUCGUAUAAUUCCAUUUACUGCAUGGUAGUUGGAUGAAUGGCGCUUUUGUGUCACUGGUGGAUGGUCUUGCGGUGCAUUUGCUAGUUGGUGGGGCAGCGGCCUACCAAGGCUGGGAUGCAUAGCCGACCGGAGAGGGUGAGCGGCCGCACUGGGAGGGAGACACGGCCCAUACGCCUACGGGAGGCAGCAGUAGGGAAUCGUCGGCAAGGGGCGCAAGUCUGACCGAGCAGCGCCGCGUGAGUGAAGAAGGUUGUCGGAUCGUAAAACUCGGUUGUUAGAAAAGAACAAGGAUGAGAGUGGAAAGUUCAGCGCUUGACGGUAUCUAGCCAGAAAGCCACGGCUAACUACGUG
rnacentral:rRNA from 1 species